rnacentral:pre_miRNA from 1 species
UACAAUUUUUACUCUUCGUUUUAUUAAAAAAAUUUUAUGAUUGAUAUUUUUAUUUUUAUUAAAUGAUAAAUCAUGAAUACUUUACGUGUGACUAAUUUUUUUUUUCUAAUUUUCUAAUUUUUUUAAAUAAGACAGAUGGUCAAACGUUGGACACGGAAACC